AUUGAACGCUAGCGGGAUGCCUUACACAUGCAAGUCGAACGGAGUGGCGAACGGGUGAGUAAUGUAACGGUACGGGCACAGUAGCGGGGGAUAACGACGCGAAAGCGUAGCUAAUACCGAAUACUAGUGGAACGGCAGAUAUCGGAUUAGCUAGUGGGUGGGGUAACGGCUCACCAAGGCGACGGUCCGUAGCUGGGUUGAGAGGACGACCAGCCACACUGGGACUGAGACACGGCCCAGACUCCUACGGGAGGCAGCAGUGGGGAAUUUUGGACAAUGGGGGAAAGCCUGAUACAGCCAUCCCGCGUGUGCGAUGAAGGCCUUAGGGUUGGAAAGCACUUUUGGCAGGAAAGCGGUACCUGCAGAAUAAGCACCGGCUAACUACGUGCCAGCCGCCGCGGUAAUAC
rnacentral:rRNA from 1 species